CAGCAGCCGCGGUAAUACGAAGGGGGCUAGCGUUGCUCGGAAUCACUGGGCGUAAAGGGUGCGUAGGCGGGUCUUUAAGUCAGGGGUGAAAUCCUGGAGCUCAACUCCAGAACUGCCUUUGAUACUGAAGAUCUUGAGUUCGGGAGAGGUGAGUGGAACUGCGAGUGUAGAGGUGAAAUUCGUAGAUAUUCGCAAGAACACCAGUGGCGAAGGCGGCUCACUGGCCCGAUACUGACGCUGAGGUACGAAAGCGUGGGGAGCAAACAGGAUUAGAUACCCCCGUAGUCCCUGUCUCUUAUAU
rnacentral:rRNA from 1 species